rnacentral:rRNA from 1 species
AUGACUCGCAUCACCGCGCCGGAGCUGUCGCCCUCGCCCCCGGACUCCCCGCCUCCCGCUCGCCGCUCCCCGGCCCCGGCGACCCCGCCCUCCCGCCGCCGCCCCUCCCCGUCCCCGUCCCUCGCGCUCACGCCCUCCUCCGCCUCCACCUCCGCCACCUCCUCGAGGCCCAGGCCCCGGCCCUCGCCCAAGAGGACCUACUCGCCGGCGCAGUGGGUCCCCUUCUCCUCCCACCCCGCCUUCGCGCUCCGCGGUGCCCUGGGCGGCGGCGGUGCCGCGUGGGAUGCCGCCGGGUCGAGGCUCUACGUCUGGGACCCUUCGGCGCGCGGCGCCCACCGGGUGUCCGUGCGGAUCCGCGACGCCGAGGCGGAGUGGGACGGGGAGGAGGUCUCCGUCGAAGCCGCCGUGCCUUCUGAGAUGUUGAUGCCGGAGAUGGAUCUUGGUUACGAGGUCACUCAUAUAUCACUUAAUACGGAUGGGUCAUCAUUACUCCUAGCUGGAUCACAUAACAUAAAUGUUCUGUAUGUACAUGAGAGGGUAUCAGAAGAUGGUGAUACAAUCAUAUGCAGGACCGCACCAGUUGCUUCUCAGAUUUUACCUACCAAUAACAAUGGCAUAAAAGUUCUGCAGACAUCUUGGCACCCUUUUAGCAGCAGCCAUUUUGGUGUUUUGACAUCAGAUGCUGUUUUCAGGUUAUUUGAUCUCUCAUUUGAUUUAGAGCAACCAGAGCAGGAAUUUUAUUUGCAGCCAAUUCUACCUGGAAGAUGUCAGAAUGCAUCGUCAAUUUGUCCAGUGGCAUUCUCUUAUGGCAGUGAUCAUCUGUGGGAUAGAUUUUCGGUUUUCAUCUUGUUCAGUGAUGGUUCAAUUUUUGUGCUCUGCCCCGUUGUUCCAUUUGGAUGUGACUAUAGUAAGAAACAUAUUGAAGAGAUAUAUGAAGAUGUUAAUACAUUUGGGCUGAAAUCUUCAAAUCCAAAUGUUGUCACGAACUCACAUUUGGCCAUUGCAUGGUUGGAGGCAACAUUUCCGGAGCUGUUACGUCAAUCAGCAGAUAGCAGCACACUGAUGUCAAGAGCUCGUGCAUAUGCCCCAGUAGACGAUUCUCUAACUCUACAGGGGCCUCUUUGUAGAGUUUGCGAGGAAAACAAUGAACUCGAAGGCAAGAACAGCUCUUGUGAAGGUAAAGCUGUGGGUUUUGUGUACAGCUCUGUUGGAAAAGAUUCAGUUCUUGUAACUGCCUGGGGUAGUGGACAGCUCCAGAUUGAUGCUCUAGCCGAUGAAAUCCAACCACAAUGGAGCAUUGGGGUUCCUACUCGCCUUAAUGUUGAUUCACAUGGACGCAUAAAGAGCGUUGCUAUGAUAUGUGACUCUAAUCCACAAGAUUCGUCGGCCCUGAGAUCACAUCGUUCAUCCAGUAUGGGGUCAAAUGUGAAGAGCAAUACAGAAGCUGUCUGGAUGGGACACUCUCCUCCUUUGCUAAGGCUCUCAAUUGUGGAUUUGGCACUACCAAAAACUUCUAACGGUAGCUCUUUAUCGUUAUUUCUGGACCCCCUUGUCCCGGAGAGAUUUUAUUGUGCACAUGGCGGGGGACUUGACAUGGUCACGUUGCACUUCCUGCCAUUUUCAUACCCUGAAAUGGCUUCCACACCACCCUCCGUGCAUCCUGUACUCACCACAGGCAACAGCGAUACAAGUUCUCCCUUCCUUUCUGGAUUUGUCGCCAUAGCGGAUGCAUAUGGCCAUGUGCAGUUAGUUGGCAUCACAUAUACUGGUGAGUGCUUUGUGGUGGAGAUGAAAGGUUGGAAGGAACCAACACCUCUUCAGCUUGACAUAUGUAGCAAGGACAUCAAGGAUGUGGAAUCUUCGACAACUGGAAUGAUCAGCAAAGAACUUCUUGCUGGUCCAGAUCCACCUAUACUUCCAUCUUCAACAAGCCUGAGGUCGUUGACUCCUGACUCCAUCGAAGGGAAGUCCACACUUCAUCACUAUAUUAAGGUUUUCCAUGAGCACUAUGUGGAGUAUGGGCACAAGGUUUUCAUCGAGCUCAAGGAACACGAAGAUUAUGUGAAGACAGAGAUUGAAGACAAGCAGAAACGCUUACAAGCAGUGAAGCAGUCACUUCUGUCCAUAGAAGCCAAAGACGAGGAGAUAAACAAGCGGGUUGAUCGGGCCUCCAAGGUAUACGACCUGUUGGAAAAGCGCAUAGAAAGCUUCAAGAUGCUGCCUGCCGCAAACAAGAAACCGUUGUCACAAGCGGAGCUGGAGUUCAAGUCACAGCUUGAUAGGUUUGCGGACGUGGAGCUGGACGCUCUGCGUACUUCCAUUGCUGCCCUGAGCGCGAGGAUGAAACGGUUCACCCAACCAUCCCUGGGCGGUGGUGCAGCUGGCACAGGAAUGGCGCCAUUUCAGGCGCCGAAGGCCGGAAGAGGCCACGUUUCGGAGUCCCAGAUGUCGCUGAUGAAGUCUUCGCUGGAGAGGCUGUCGCUCCUCAACGAGGAGAACAAUCAGAAGCUACGGGUCAUCGAGACUGAACUCAAGAACAAGGAACAGCAGUAG